rnacentral:rRNA from 2 species
UACAGAGGGUGCGAGCGUUAAUCGGAUUUACUGGGCGUAAAGGGCGCGUAGGCGGUUUAAUGAGUGUGAUGUGAAAGCCCUGGGCUCAACCUAGGAAGUGCAUCGCAAACGAUUGAACUGGAGUAUAUGAGAGGGUGGUGGAAUUUCCGGUGUAGCAGUGAAAUGCGUAGAGAUCGGAAAGAACGUCGAUGGCGAAGGCAGCCACCUGGCAUAAUACUGACGCUGAGGCGCGAAAGCGUGGGGAUCAAACAGG